rnacentral:rRNA from 1 species
GACGAACGCUGGCGGCGUGCCUAAUACAUGCAAGUAGAACGCUGAAGGGAGAGCUUGCUCUUCUGGAUGAGUUGCGAACGGGUGAGUAACGCGUAGGUAACCUGCCUGGUAGCGGGGGAUAACUAUUGGAAACGAUAGCUAAUACCGCAUAACAUUGACUAUUGCAUGAUAGUCAAUUGAAAGGUGCAAAUGCACCACUACCAGAUGGACCUGCGUUGUAUUAGCUAGUUGGUGGGGUAACGGCUCACCAAGGCGACGAUACAUAGCCGACCUGAGAGGGUGAUCGGCCACACUGGGACUGAGACACGGCCCAGACUCCUACGGGAGGCAGCAGUAGGGAAUCUUCGGCAAUGGACGGAAGUCUGACCGAGCAACGCCGCGUGAGUGAAGAAGGUUUUCGGAUCGUAAAGCUCUGUUGUAAGAGAAGAACGGGUGUGAGAGUGGAAAGUUCACACUGUGACG